UCAUUAAGUGAAUACAUAGCUUAAUGAGGGGAACUCAGGGAACUGAAACAUCUAAGUACCUGAAGGAAGAGAAAGAAAUUCGAUUCCGUAAGUAGCGGCGAGCGAACGCGGAUUAGCCCAAACCAAUAAAGUUUUCUUUAUUGGGGUUGCGGACAUAUCAUAACGAAGAGGUAUCGUAAUUGAAGAGGUUUGGAAAGACCCACCACAGAAGGUAAUAGUCCUGUAUGUUAAACGAGAAGACUUUAGAUAUGAUCCAGAGUACCACGGGACACGUGAAACCCUGUGGGAAGCAGGAGGGACCACCCUCCAAGGCUAAAUACUACCUAGUGACCGAUAGCGUAUAGUACCGUGAGGG
rnacentral:rRNA from 1 species